CACGGGAGGCAGCAGUGGGGAAUAUUGGACAAUGGGCGAAAGCCUGAUCCAGCCAUGCCGCGUGUGUGAAGAAGGCCUUCGGGUUGUAAAGCACUUUCAGUGGGGAAGAAAGCCUUGGGGCUAAUACCCUCGAGGAAGGACAUCACCCACAGAAGAAGCACCGGCUAACUCCGUGCCAGCAGCCGCGGUAAUACGGAGGGUGCGAGCGUUAAUCGGAAUUACUGGGCGUAAAGCGCGCGUAGGCGGUCUGAUAAGCCGGUUGUGAAAGCCCCGGGCUCAACCUGGGAACGGCAUCCGGAACUGUCAGGCUAGAGUGCAGGAGAGGAAAGUAGAAUUCCCGGUGUAGCGGUGAAAUGCGUAGAGAUCGGGAGGAAUACCAGUGGCGAAGGCGGCCUUCUGGACUGACACUGACGCUGAGGUGCGAAAGCGUGGGUAGCAAACAGGAUUAGAUACCCCGGUAGUC
rnacentral:rRNA from 1 species